UACGAAAGGUGCAAGCGUUACUCGGAAUCACUGGGCGUAAAGCGCACGUAGGCGGACUCGUAGGUCAGUUGUGAAAUACCUGGGCUCAACCCGGGAACUGCAGCUGAAACCGCUUGUCUUGAAUACCUGAGAGGGUGGGGGAAUACCUGGUGGAGAAGUGAAAUUCGUAGAGAUCAGGUGGAACACCGGAGGCGAAGGCGCCUGCCUGGCAGUGUAUUGACGCUGAGGUGCGAAAGUGCGGGGAGCAAACAGG
rnacentral:rRNA from 1 species